UGCUGCAUGGCUGUCGUCAGCUCGUGUCGUGAGAUGUUUGGUCAAGUCCUAUAACGAGCGAAACCCUCGUUUUGUGUUGCUGAGACAUGCGCCUAAGGAGAAAGUCUUUGCAACCGAAGUGAGCCGAGGAGCCGAGUGACGUGCCAGCGCUACUAAUUGAGUGCCAGCACCUAGCUGUGCUGUCAGUAAGAAGGUAGCCGGCGCCUUUCGAAGCACUUUCUAUUUCUAGUUAACGCUGUUUUUUGAUUGCAGCUAGCGCGCUUGACUAAUAAGAUAGAAAGGGCCUUUCUCGCUUGUUUAGUAAAGUCAAGUUUUUGGCCUUAUCUUGCAGGUGACGACGACGUCGAGUUGACGGC
rnacentral:rRNA from 1 species